GGAGGCACCAAGACCUCGGCCUCGACCUCGGGUUGGUCUGAUUGGCCUUCGGUAGAAGACACCAAGCCCUCUAGCUUGGAUUGGUCUGAUUCAAUGCCUUUGCAGGAAGAAACUAUAGCCAAGGUUUCUGAUUCGGUCUCUCCGGAUUGGUCAAGUGAAGCUAAGCCGGCUAUGGUGGGUGCAGGGCUUGCAAAUCUAGGCAACACUUGUUUUCUUAAUGCAAUCUUACAAUGUUUUACGCACAUAGUGCCACUCGUUCAGGGUCUUAGGUCAUAAAAUCACCCGAGGCCUUGUGACCGUGAUAAUGAAGGGUUCUGUGUAAUUUGCACUCUUCGUGACCAUAUUGAAUACUCCAUAGCUUCGAUGGACAUGGUUGUCUCCCCUUGGAAGCUUGUUGACAAUUUGAACUGUAUCAUCUUCUACAGUGAUAUU